rnacentral:rRNA from 1 species
GACGAACGCUGGCGGCGUGCUUAACACAUGCAAGUCGAGCGGUAAGGCCCUUCGGGGUACACGAGCGGCGAACGGGUGAGUAACACGUGAGUAAUCUGCCCAUCACUUCGGGAUAACUCCGGGAAACCGGUGCUAAUACCGAAUAUGACCACUUCAGGCAUCUGCUGGUGGUGGAAAGUUCCGGCGGUGAUGGAUGAGCUCGCGGCCUAUCAGCUUGUUGGUGGGGUAGUGGCCUACCAAGGCUUCGACGGGUAGCCGGCCUGAGAGGGUGACCGGCCACACUGGGACUGAGACACGGCCAAGACUCCUACGGGAGGCAGCAGUGGGGAAUAGUGGACAAUGGGCGAAAGCCUGAUCCAGCAACGCCGCGUGAGGGAUGACGGCCUUCGGGUUGUAAACCUCUUUCAGCAGGGACGAAGCGCAAGUGACGGUACCUGCAGAAGAAGCACCGGCCAACUACGUG